UAGCCAUAUCACAUUGAAACACCAGUCCUUGUCUGAUCACCAAAGUUAAGCAAUAUCAGGCCUAGUCAGUACCUUAGAUGGCUGAUCACUUGGGAAUAUCAGGUGCUGUAAG